rnacentral:misc_RNA from 1 species
GAUGAAGAACGCAGCGAAAUGCGAUAAGUAAUGUGAAUUGCAGAAUUCAGUGAAUCAUCGAGUCUUUGAACGCACAUUGCGCCCCCUGGUAUUCCGGGGGGCAUGCCUGUCCGAGCGUCAUUGCUGCCCUCAAGCACGGCUUGUGUGUUGGGCCCCCGCCCCCCGGCUUCGGGGGGCGGGCUCGAAAGGCAGCGGCGGCACCGCGUCCGGUCCUCGAGCGUAUGGGGCUUCGUCACCCGCUCUGUAGGCCCGGCCGGCGCCCGCCGGCGACCCCAAUCAAUCUUUCCAGGUUGACCUCGGAUCAGGUAGGGAUACCCGCUGAACUUAAGCAUAUCAAUAAGCGGAGGC